GCUGGUUCUUUAGCAGAGAUGUAAGUAUUGCAAAUGCUCAACUAAGGGCCAAGUUCGAUCCCUUUUGCAGACAGCGACUUUUCCUUCUCAACAUUUCGGGAAAAGCUAGCUAUGUACAUCCGACAAGUUCGUAGGAACAUACGGACUUCGUUACCAUCCGUUGAGAAAAUCAAGAGCAUUCGUAGAAGUCUCUCUCUUUUCCUUUUGUUAAAGAUGGAAAGUGCACUCGUUGAUCAGCAUGAACGCGCCCUGGACAUGCUCGGUAAUCGGCGAUUUGACUGUAAAUCCAAGUGAAACAGGGCCAGACGAAAAACAGGGGCAUGAAUUGGGGACGCAAGGCGCAAUUUUUCUCUCGGAAUUGACGUCGCCGAAGAGUAAUAUGUUGUGGCUUCUGAGUUAACUCAGUGACCCGCGUAGACUUGUUUCUUGGGGCGGGAUCGCUCUUUCGUUACAAUCAGCAGAACCCUGUUGGCUUCAUUCGUUUCUACCUUUUCUUUCCUGGGUUUCCAUGGAAUCGGUGAAUGCAAAGGGAAGGAAACCUCGGAUUCACUCACGCUGCCAAAUGCCCAUGUCUGGUAUCUCUCUAUCUACCGUUUUCAUAGUUCUCGUGAUGUCUCUACUCGUGACGCAUUCUUCUUGACGUUGUGAAUGAACAAUCUAAUCUUGGGGUGUUUCAUCAUCUUUACUGGCAAAAGUGCGCGUGACUGUUUGGGAUGUCCGUCUGUGCAGAACUAUGUACUGCAUGGCUUGAUCAAUGGUACUGCAAAUAUUGAUUUUGCUGGAGACAGUGUAUGAAAGUCAAUAGCUUGACAGCUAGUAUGCGCGUGAUGGGUCUUCUACUUUGAGUUUGAGCUCUAUACGAGUCACUUCGUAAAGGAAGCUGAAAUUGCGGUUGCUGGUGAGUCUAAGUUCAAGGCUCAUUUUCGAGGACCCUAACGGGUGUCUAGGAGAUAAAGAACUUGGUUGCAGGGUACUCUUUGGGAUUUCUCAUCCCAACCAGACAGAAUAGUUUACUAGGUAAAUACCGAGAGUAUCUCAGGAUCGUGUUGGCUGAUUAGGUGAGCCGACCCUCACAAACUGAUCAGGGACAAUGUGUUUUUCUCGUCAAUAUGAACGCGAAAGUUUGAAGUUCUACUUAUGAGAUUUGCUUGUAUGGUUAGCAUUGAUCAACCAGGUGACAGCCAUCAAAGAUUUCAUUCCUAAGCCACCUUUUUGCUUGUGGCAACUUGAUCUUUACCCACUUAACCAAAUCAUGUCUGAAUACCUUGCUAUUGCUACUACUUAAGAGUUGACGUCAUAUGUCCUCAGAGCUCUUGGAAAUCUCUUCCUCCUAAGGAAGUUUUGACAAAUUAUUCUAGCAAAUACGAGAACAGUGGCGGUGAUUUUACCUGCUUUUGAUUGGUAACUGGUAACCUUUUCCACCCAACCAAUAUCCUGAAAACCGCAAUCACAAUAUAUAAGCAACAUGGGUUUAGUUCACAAAGUGAUGGCAAUCACUUGAGCCUGGAGGAUGAAUAACAUUGGUUUGCAGAGUUUAAGCAAGCAAGACCACUCUGAUGUUGACAGAGUCUACAGUUUAUGAUGGAAAUAACAGACUAGUCUCAGUUCAUUCUGAGCAUAUUAUCCAAAUUAAAUAGCCAGUUACAAAGCACCACCAAGAUUAUGAAGUCCUGUCCCAAACAGAACUAAAGAAGUUUCUCUGAAUGUGCCAUUGAGACUUUAAAAGAAUGGAGCUCUUUGAGGCUUCCCUUUUCUUCGGCGCGGUGCUUUGCUAGGCUGAGCAUCUUUGCUUUGAUUUUCCUUUGUUGGAGCUUGGACAGAAAGAUGUGGAGGCUCCUGGUCUUUGGUUUUUCUCGAAAAAGCCAUGACCUGAAGUUUUAAUUUCUUCAGCGUAAAGCACAUGGUUUAGCCAAGCAUAUUCUAAAUGACCAGUAUUUCUGCCAUGGUUACCUUGCAAGAAAUGGAGCAGUAAUCAUAGAGGUCAGGUUCCGAUAAUCUUCUCUUGCAGAUCUCACAGGAUGUCUUACCAUUUGAUGUUGUUGGACCACUAUGGGGAAGAGGGUUCAGGGCCAUUACCAGUCUCUUGUUGGACUUGUAUGGCUGAAACUUGGAAGACAACAAUAUACUUAAAUAAAAAGGAUAAUGCCUUGGCGUCCCAGUGAAUCACAACGGCAGCAUCAACAAUACUACCACCUCAAAUGAAAUCUGUUCGCAAUCCUAUAAAUGCGACCAUUAACAGGCAAUCUCGAAAGCAAAAUGUCAUCUAUCUUUCUCUGUGUAUCGAAAGAGUAUAAAGGAGGUACCUGUAUUCUGGAGCAAUCGAUAUGCUUUUCGAUGGAGGAGAGGGAGACAACAUCCUUGUAGACAUGUCUAUAGAUUUUAAGUAUCUUGUGUUGGCGAUGACUUCCUGAAGAGAUGCAGUACUGACAAGCAGAUGAAUCACAGUUGAUGCAAUACUUAUUUAACUCAUUCCUACGAAUUGGGUGCGCUGAACAUGAUUCGAAGAAAGUCUUCUGGAGGAAAGAGUCGAGCCAUUCUGGGUGUUGCUUCUUGCGAUGGUUUUCAGUAUCAGCCUGCUAAAGAGACAUGUUAAUUAGACAAUGUGCAUUUAACUUUACCCUUUUCUCUCCCUUGCAAAAUUUGAUAGAAAAAACACUCUAAGCGAAAAUUAGAACCUAUACAGAUGCUAUCAGGACAGAGGAAUAAUAUGAACCGAAAGAAAUCUAUCAACAUUUUGAAAUAUAUCAUAACUCAUGUUCUGGAUAAAAAGCAUGGAAGGGAAGCUGGAGCUUAAGAUCUUAUUGAAUAAAAGAAUGGUUAUGCCUGCUUCAAGAAAGCUGCUCCUUAUUCAGGGGAUCAAUCCAUUUUGUGGGGGAGUCAGCUUAAGGUUCAGAUGCAAUGAUUUCUCUUGAUAUAAUGAGAAUCUUAGAGGAGAGAUGCUGGAAUGGAACUCCUGUAUGCCGACUGAUCAUUUAUCGACAAAAUCAAGAUACACAUCAGUAACUUCAAGGUCGUCUUUGGCAAGAGAUAUUAAUCUCAUGUGAAAAUAUUUCAUGACGACAAAAAGGUUCCAGGUCCGCUCAUAAGCUUUUAACAUGUGAUAUUGGCUGGACAAAGCAACCCUGCACAAUUUCUGAAGUGACUGCAAAUUUGUUUUCUUUACAUAUAUAUUUUGAAGUCCACUGCUUUCCGAGUAGAGAAGGUCUCAAUGGAUAUGAGUCCAGGUUCGAAUGCAUCCGAGAGGGGCAAUCUGUUUUAACAUUUGGAGCAUGUAGCUUGCUGACUCAGUGCCAGGUGUGCAUGCCGAACCGCUCCUCCUAGAAGACGUUUUGACCUGAGGCGAAUCGUCCCAAGAUUUGAUGCAAUGAAAACAAUUUUAAACUCCUGUAGCUGUUACUCAAAACGUUUGCACAGUGGGGCUCCUGUUUUCCCGUUAGAGUAUCGAUUUCAAGAAGAGAGAUAAUCCAUAGAAGGAAAAUCCAAAAGAAAACAAAGAUACAGUAGAAGAUUACAUGCCCGUGUAUUAUGACUCUUUGGUCCUUGAUUUCCUAACGAGCCUUCAGGGGACUAAUUUCCAGUCAAAAGUCAACUGAACUGAAAGUGUCAUGAGAGCAAAAAAAUGUGAGUCACCACGAGUUCUUCAAUGGCUUCUCUAGCAAAGCAGAGAGGUACAUCUCUUGAAGCUCGGGCCCGCGGUCAAGCUUCCUCCCCACGAUCCACUUCAGCUUGUUGAAGCCGACACUCUCAAUCACCGGUGCAUACAGUUUCUCCAACUGAUCACCGGAACAGAAGAAAUGGUCCAGCCAAAACAACCCUCCAGGCCUCAACACUCUGUACACAUCAAACAGCAGGAAAUGCAGGAGUGUUGUUGGGAUCCAGUUACUCAACACAUGCAUCGAGUGCACGAUGUCAAGUGUGUUGUCAAAAAUUGGCAGCCUCUGGGAGAUGCUCAUGUACAGAGGCACAACUCCCCUGGAAGCAAUGAAGCUGUUGAAAGGGCCAUUCAGGUUCAUGGAGGUGGUCACAAUGGUUAUGUUCCUCUGCAUCAUCCGGACGGCGAACGUGGCCACCCCACCGCCGAUAUCUAGCCCAAUCCUGAUCGUCCCCGGCGGUUUCGUUGCAAGGACUUCGUCAAUGGUGAAGUCGAGGCCGCCAUGGCUCUCGGUCGUGGUCCACCGGGACUUCUCCCGCCCCUCAAGGUCAAAGCAGUCCUUGCAGUCAUCGAAGCCUUUCUGCCGGUGCUUCCGGUUGAUGAGGCAGUCGUAGUCCUUGCACGUGUAGGCGGUCCACACCACGGAGUUAUCUGAAGGAGUUGUCCACAUGCACGUCGGAUAAGGAUAAGGCUCAACAUAGUCAGGAGGCGCAGCGGGGCGGCAGCGGCGGCGGGGGAGGGGUUCGCAGCCAUGUAGGAGUAACUUCUGCGUGAGGAGCUCGUCAUCGGGGCAGGAGCCAUUGGCGGGGUACGUCAUGAAGCGGCGGAGAUCGUCUAGGUACCUUGUGCAGCCGCUGCCAACUGGAGGGAAGAUGGUAUCGGAGUCGAAGUUGGAGUUGAAGCCGAAGGGAAGGGAGUGGCCUGAUGUGAAGGCGAGGAACUCGGGGGGGAGAUCUUUGGUGGCGUCGGAUCGUUUGAAUUCGUCGUGCGAGACUGUGGUGGAGGGAAUACUAUUUGUCGAGGUGGUUCUAACGGUGGCGGCCAGGAAGUAGGAAGCGAGGGAGCAUGGGGAGUAGAAGGUGGUGGAGAGGAAGAAGGUGAGGAGAUUGGUGGAGAGGAGGACGACGAAGAACAGACUGGUGGAGAGAGAGCGGGGCUUAUGAUGGCGAGGUGAGUCCAUCUCCAAUCCAAUGCGUUCCGCGUUUGCAAGUCCUUACUUGUUUUGCACACCAAUGGUUUCACUCAGAAAUGGACUCCGCGGUGUGUAUGGUUUUAGCAGUUGCAGGGUUGAAGUGCUGUGUAGUAUAUGGAACGGUAGAAGCAGCAUUGACUGAAAACCAGAGUUGCAUUUAGGCAGGCAUGGAUGUGAUCACUUUACAAUAAAAAAAAAAUGAGCGAGAGGUGAGUCAUAGUGGUGAGAAGCAAUUAAAGUAAUGGAUGCUUUGGUGAGGUUAAGUAUUGGAAGCUUGUGGAAGGUCAACGGUUGGGGAAGUUCCAUGAAGUUUGUGUUGUUCAGACUCUCGGCUCUUUUCUUCUCUGCAGCAGACAUGCAUCCAUGGAUUGCGGAUCUCCUAUUCGAUUCAUAUUUGAACGCAGAGGAAACCAAAGACCCGGAAUUUUGCGUCCGUGCAAGCAUUAGCCUACUUAAUAUAAUCACCAGCUAGCAUCCCUUAAUAACAAGAAAAGCCUUCUCGUACAAGUAUAAAAAAAAAAAAAAAUCUAAACUUGUUACUUGCUAAUCACUCAAAACUUGUCGGUUGUAAUCCAA